CCUAAAUUGCCCCAUAGGGACAAUUGUUGAGAGUGACCUGGAGCUGGAGAAGCAAAUUGGAGAGGCAUCAAAGAGAGAUAUGGCGGUAAUAAUGGGUGACUUCAACUACCCACAUAUAGACUGGAUAAAUUCACAUUCAGUGGUUUCCCUUCAUAGCACCCCUGCAGUGCAUCUCCAUCUUCCAAAGAGAAGGAUGGUCCUGGGAGUCAGCAGAUGCAUCGUCUGUGAGAUAGUCAGGGAAGUGGUGAACCUGCUGUUGGAGCUCUUCAUGGAUGAUGUGAUUCAUGUGGGUGACCCGAAGGAGGUGAUGGCAGGCUUCAAGGAGAAGGAGUUCCUGGGCAUCGUGGGCUGUAUCAACAGGACUCACAUUGAAAUUUUGGUCCCCUCAGUCAGCAGGACCAGUACUUCGGGUGGAAGAACUACUACACUCUGACCCUGCAACGUGUAGUGGACUCCAUGGGAUGUUUCAUGGACAUCUAUGCGAGGGUGUCAGGCUGAAGCCAUGACACUGCCAUUUUCUGGACCUCCCCUCUCACCUCUAUGCUCUGCACUGG